UACGAACCGUCCAAACGUUAUUCGGAUUUAUUGGGCUUAAAGGGUAUGUAGGCGGCCCUGCAAGUCGGGUGUGAAAGCCCUCGGCUCAACCGAGGAACUGCGCCCCAUACUGUCGGACUCGAGGGAGACAGAGGUAAGCGGAACUGAUGGUGGAGCGGUGAAAUGCGUUGAUAUCAUCAGGAACACCGGUGGCGAAAGCGGCUUACUGGGUCUCUUCUGACGCUGAGGUACGAAAGCUAGGGGAGCGAACGGG
rnacentral:misc_RNA from 1 species